rnacentral:rRNA from 1 species
AGAGUUUGAUCCUGGCUCAGGAUGAACGCUGGCGGCGUGCCUAACACAUGCAAGUCGAGCGAGAAAUAAAGAAAUGAAGCUUCGGUAGAUUUUCUUUAUGGAAAGCGGCGGACGGGUGAGUAACGCGUAGGCAACCUGCCCUGUACAGGGGGAUAGCCACCCGAAAAGGUGAUUAAUACCCCAUAACGCAAGAGAUACACAUGUAUCACUUGUCAAAGAUUUAUCGGUAUAGGAUGGGCCUGCGUCUGAUUAGCUAGUUGGUAAGGUAACGGCUUACCAAGGCAACGAUCAGUAGCCGACCUGAGAGGGUGAUCGGCCACAUUGGAACUGAGACACGGUCCAAACUCCUACGGGAGGCAGCAGUGGGGAAUAUUGCACAAUGGGGGAAACCCUGAUGCAGCGACGCCGCGUGAGCGAAGAAGGUUUUCGAAUCGUAAAGCUCUGUCCUAUGAGAAGAUAAUGACGGUAUCAUAGGAGGAAGCCCCGGCUAAAUACGUGCCAGCAGCCGCGGUAAUACGUAUGGGGCGAGCGUUGUCCGGAAUUAUUGGGCGUAAAGGGUACGUAGGCGGCCUUUUAAGUCAGGUGUGAAAGCGUGAGGCUUAACCUCAUUAAGCACUUGAAACUGGAAGGCUUGAGUGAAGGAGAGGAAAGUGGAAUUCCUAGUGUAGCGGUGAAAUGCGUAGAUAUUAGGAGGAAUACCGGUGGCGAAGGCGACUUUCUGGACUUUUACUGACGCUCAGGUACGAAAGCGUGGGGAGCAAACAGGAUUAGAUACCCUGGUAGUCCACGCCGUAAACG